rnacentral:SRP_RNA from 14 species
UUGUGCCGGAAGUUCCCGGGCUGGAAAUGCUGGGUCAAACCGAAGUCGAUGAGCAUGGCGUGAGGCUGGCCGCAGAGAGGCGGAAUGGCGAGGACAUCUCCGCCUCCGAGGGUCAAUG